rnacentral:rRNA from 1 species
CGGGGGGCAGCAGCAGUUAGGAAUAAUCUACAAUGCGCGAAAGCGUGAUAGUUUGAGCCAGAGUGUUUUUCAAUUGAAAGACUUUUGUGAAAUGUAAAAAGUUUCACGAAUAAGGACUGGGUAAGACUAGUGCCAGCCGCCGCGGUAAUACUAGCGGUCCAAGUCGCAACCAUUUUUAUUGGGUCUAAAACAUCCGUAGCUUGCUUGACAAGUCUUCUGUGAAAUUUUACGUCUAAAACGUAGAGCGCGCAGAAGGUACUAUCAAGCUAGAGACCGGAAGACGUAAGAAGUACAUUCAGAGUAGCGGUUAAAUGUGUUAAUCCUGGAUGGACUAACAAGAGCGAAGGCAUCUUACGAGGACGGUUCUGACAGUAAGGGAUGAAAGCUAGGGGCGCAAAUGGGAUUAGAUACCCUUGUAGUC